rnacentral:rRNA from 1 species
UGCGUAGGUGGAUAUUUAAGUCAGGGGUGAAAUCCUGGAGCUCAACUCCAGAACUGCCUUUGAUACUGAGUAUCUUGAGUUCGGGAGAGGUAAGUGGAACUGCGAGUGUAGAGGUGAAAUUCGUAGAUAUUCGCAAGAACACCAGUGGCGAAGGCGGCUUACUGGCCCGAUACUGACACUGAGGCACGAAAGCGCGGGAGCAAACA